rnacentral:lncRNA from 1 species
AAAUGCCUAGAGACAUGAUCAUGUAAUGAUGUUUUAGUGAUAGCACAGAAGGCAUAUAAUGCCAAGCACAACCCAGAGAUCAUUUAUUGCAAGAACUCCUUAUUAAGAGUCUGAAAUGCAUUAUUUCACAUGCUUGUGGUGGGUGCUGACCAUGCGCCUGGCACAGUGCAGGGUGCCCGCUACCCCCAGCAAGGGGAGAGGGACACAUAACAUACCACCCCACAUAGGGAUUGCAGUGGGGACCCAGGGAGGGGCUGUCCAGCCUGGCUGAGAGGACCAGGGGCGAGAGUGAAAAAUAUAGAUGGAGCUUCCCUCUUUAGAGCGCGUUCCUUACCAGAAUUAGAAUAAAGCGAAUCUCAGAUGUUUUCUGUAAAUAAAUGGCAGUUUUGAGUGAGGGAGGGCUGGGG